GGGCCCGCACAAGCGGUGGAGCAUGUGGUUUAAUUCGACGCAACGCGAAGAACCUUACCAAGGCUUGACAUCCUCAGAAUACUUAGGAAACUAGGUAGUGCCCUUCGGGGAACUGAGAGACAGGUGGUGCAUGGUUGUCGUCAGCUCGUGUCGUGAGAUGUUGGGUUAAGUCCCGCAACGAGCGCAACCCCUAUCUUUAGUUGCUAACAAGUAGUGUUGAGCACUCUAGAGAGACUGCCGGUGACAAACCGGAGGAAGGUGGGGAUGACGUCAAAUCAUCAUGCCCCUUAUGUCUUGGGCUACACACGUGCUACAAUGGCCGGUACAGACGGUUGCGAAGCCGCGAGGUGGAGCUAAUCUGAGAAAGCCGGUCUCAGUUCGGAUUGUAGGCUGCAACUCGCCUACAUGAAGUCGGAAUCGCUAGUAAUCGCAGGUCAGCAUACUGCGGUGAAUACGUUCCCGGGCCUU
rnacentral:rRNA from 1 species